UAAGUGAAGAGUUUGAUCCUGGCUCAGAGUGAACGCUGGCGGUAGGCCUAACACAUGCAAGUCGAACGGCAGCACAGGGGAGCUUGCUCC
rnacentral:rRNA from 1 species